GCAAGUCGAACGGGAUUUAUGUUGUAGCAAUACGAGAUAAUGAGAGUAGCGCACGGGUGCGUAACACGUAUGCAACCUACCUUUAACCGGGACAUAACCUUGAGAAAUCGAAGCUAAUAUCCCAUGUGAUUAUCAUAUGGCAUCAUAAGGUAAUUAAAAUUGAGAUGGUUAAAGAUGGGCAUGCGUCCCAUUAGCUAGUUGGUAAGGUAACGGCUUACCAAGGCGACGAUGGGUAGGGGUUCUGAGAGGAUGAUCCCCCACACUGGUACUGAGACACGGACCAGACUCCUACGGGAGGCAGCAGUAAGGAAUAUUGGUCAAUGGACGGAAGUCUGAACCAGCCAUGCCGCGUGCAGGAAGACAGCCCUAUGGGUUGUAAACUGCUUUUGUACGGGAAGAAUGGCCACUACGUGUAGAGGUUUGACGGUACCGUAAGAAUAAGGAUCGGCUAACUCCGUGCCAGCAGCCGCGGUAAUACGGAGGAUCCGAGCGUUAUCCGGAUUUAUUGGGUUUAAAGGGUGCGCAGGCGGGUAUAUAAGUCAGAGGUGAAAAACCACGGCUCAACUGUGGUCCUGCCUUUGAUACUGUAUGUCUAGAGUAUAGAUGGAGUGGGCGGAAUGUAGCAUGUAGCGGUGAAAUGCUUAGAUAUGCUACAGAACACCGAUCGUGAAGACAGCUCACUAAGCUAUAACUGUCGCUCAGGCACGAAAGCAUGGGGAGCAAACAGGAUUAGAUACCCUGGUAGUCCAUGCCGUAAACGAUGAUUACUCGCUGUUAGCGAUACACAGUUAGCGGCUAAGCGAAAGCGAUAAGUAAUCCACCUGGGGAAUACCUUCGCAGAUUGAAACUCAAAGGAAUUGACGGGGCCCCGCAACGGAGGAGGAG
rnacentral:rRNA from 1 species